rnacentral:lncRNA from 1 species
UUAGAAUGAAGGCUUAACUUAUAUCAAAUAGAUCAUUUUUCUCAUUUUUUUUCAUAUACUUUCUCAUGUUUUCAACAGAAAAGGAGGAAAAAGGAGAAACUUUUUUGGUUUCUCUUCUAUCUCUCUCCAUCACUUCCUCUUACACCCUCUCCAUCUCUUUGCCUCAGUACAAUAACAAUAACUUUAACAACACAAACUUCACAUCAUAGUACA